rnacentral:snRNA from 1 species
GCCGCAUCUUGGCCUUUUGGCUAAGAUCAAGUGUAGUAUCUGUUCUUAUCAGUUUAACAUGAAUUUUUCAAGGUCCAUCCAAGAUUGGCUGAAAAUGGUGAAGUCACCAUAUUUUUUUUAGCUGAAUAGUAUUCCAU